GGGGGUGACCAGGUUUCGACAGGGUUAAGGGGAUUGCUGAUGCAUGCCGAGAAGAUUACCUACUCGUUAAUCACGGUGAUACUAAACUUAAACGCAAACGAUAACUUUGCAUUAGCUGCAUAGCCAGCUACGCUCCUGCAUGUUAUGCUAUUGAGCAUGUAAUGAGCGUCAUAAUUAAUAGCUCUGGAAAGUAGAUGUCUAUAAUACUAUUCCGAGAUUUAUAGACUGGCUCUCUUACAAGGUUUGACUAUCUUCCUGCAUAAGAGUGAGAUUAAAGAUAGCUAAGCAUGUAGAUUCAGCUUUUGACUUCUCUCUGGACGCGGGUUCGAUUCCCGCCACCUCCACCA
rnacentral:tmRNA from 1 species